rnacentral:lncRNA from 1 species
CCGAACCCUAACGGUUGGGUGACGUGGCUGGCGCACCAGACUGUCCGGUGCGCCCAUCGACAGCAGCCCAACCCCAACGGUUGUUUGGUGGUUGAGGGCUAUAAAUACCCCUCAACCACCUCCACUCCAACCAUCCAAGCAUUCAUUGUAACACCCCACUGGUCACACACAAUGGAUAAUACCACAAACCCCACCCACCAAACUUACUCAACACAAGAGAAGUAAUAAAGAAAGAAUAUAUAGCAAAAUCCGGCAGCACCUCCUUUGAAAACUAGCAUAACAAGGAGGGGAAUCAUGAAGCUCAUACAAGAUAUAAAGACAUAUAAUUCACAUAGUAGAAACUGAAAUGCAAUAGUGGCAAAACUUAAUUAUGACCCAACUGAAGCAAAACAAAUGGGAUAAGAAACUCAGCCCACCCCAAAAUAAACGCUCAACCAAGAACAAAGCAAUUCACUAGACUUGUCCAACUCUGAUUAACAACAUUAUUAAAUGGUGGUUCCUUUAUUAAAGGUGUAGUGGCCGUGCUGCUACAUCCCUCUAUUCCCAAAUCAAAAAUUAGGUGCCUGCAUCAAACAAUGCAAGAUGUGAGAUAACACAUCUCAGCAAGUAAACAUAACAACAACAAAUAGGACAUUGUAAAUCAACUGUGCUUACACAACCACGUGUUCAGGACUUCUUUCUUUUCUUUUGAACAGUAAAUUGCAGCAAGUAAACAAGUAACUAAAAGCUCAACGCCAAGUAGAAUCACCAUGCACAAGUCCAAAUUAUCCACAUCCACAUAAUAGAUUCAACACCUCUCCCAUGAAUGCACAUGGCUACAAAUGCAAUAAUGACUUCUGCCUCCAUAUCUCUAAGGAUAUGAAGCUGCACCAUACCCCUUCUCGGGCAACAUAUGAUGCUCAAUGUACCGAUACGGUCGGACCAUAAGAUCGCGACGAAACUUCAAUGCAAUGGAUGAUGAGUGCAUUAUGCAUGACAACCUCAUGAGUUCUUCCCAAAUAAAAAUGUGCUAGGCAUUUACUUCCACCCAUUCCACAGAAUAACCACUUGAGUAACAUAAUCAAACCUCAAACUCAACAUAUGAAAUUCAUGAAACAUGAACAUUUUCAAAUGAUGGUACUCAAAAGAAACUAUGAAUUUGAACAUAAUAGCACAACAUAAACAAGUAUAAGACUCCUCAUCUGACAGACGGAAUAACCAUCACAGUUUUACUUGCCUUCACCGGAAGUUUGGGCAAAUCCCUAAGAACGAUCUGGGAGUCCACCACCUGUUUUUGACACCCAACUUAGUGCACCAAAUUCACAUAAAAACUCAAAACAACGCCGCACCUACGCGCAAUCUCCAACCCCGCCGCGGGUAACAAUUCUCCCCACACCAACCAAACUGCAGCGGCGCUGCUUAACAAUUCCAUAACUUUAAAAUUAAGACAGCAGUGGUGUCAAACAAAAACUCCAGAGGCAACUACAUAAAAUUCCCCACAAGUUUUGUAUACAACUUAUGAUUAAAUUCUAACAUCUAAUUACCCCUAAACGGUCCACAAAAUAAACCCUGCAAUCUGUUUUUUUUUCUGUUUUGGGCAGCGACAUACUCGGAUUCAAAAAGCGAUAACUUUUAAAAUAUAAUUCCGAAUCAAGCGCAUAAGUACUUGUUGGAAAGAUAAGAAAGAGCCCUUCAUGAUUCUUAUACUGAUUAACCCUAAUUACUCCCGAAAAAUCCCCAGAAACUGCUAAUACUGCUGCUAUUCAUCCCCCUGAAAAUCUGUUUUUUGGACAGCCACAUACCCGGAUUCAAACGGUGAUAACUUUCAAUUUAUAACUCCAAAUUGAGCGCAUAAAUACUCGUUGGAAAGGUAAGACAAAGUUCUACAUGAUCCCCAAACUGAUUUCCCUUAAUUUCUCACGAAAAAACACAGAACUGCUAGAACUACUGCUGUUCAUCCACCACCUAAAAUUCUGGACAGCCCCCUCUACCCAAUCGCAAACGCAACUUCUAAUCAAUUAAAUUGCAGCGCAAAUGAACAAGGGAUGAACACAAAAAUCACCUUGGAUUCUCCCCCUUUCCUUCCUCCCUUCUUCCCUCCACCAAAACGAUUGAAGACUCGCACCACGCGACGAUGAUCCGAGCGGCAAGGAUUGGCACCUUGGGAGGAGGGGAUUGAGGGGGGGGGGCGGCUAGGGUUUGGUGGCUGCAACAAUGGAGAGAGGAGGAUAUGGGCAGGGGGGCGGCGGCCAAGGGGAAAGAAGUGGGGGGGCUGCACAAGGGGGGAGAAGUGGGGGGAGACGGCUAGGGUUUGGGAGGGUUAAUGGGCCGAAACACCAAUUGCGGCCCAACUAACCCACGCGACAGCUCCCGACCGCAACGCACGCGUCAAACCAAAUAAAUUCUACUGCCCUAGCUGUGAAUGUUUUCCACAAAAUUCCAAAUCCCCAAAACAACAACCGGAUGAGGAAAAAAACCAAAAAGAACAACCCCCAACUUCUCUUCUUUGCAAACCGGGUAUCACACUCUACCCCUCUUAAAAAGAAUUCGACCUCGAAUUCUGAUGCUUCUAUUGGAAUGACAAAAGAAAAGAUUAAUGAAUCAACAACACUUACACACAACGAAAAGUUCCGGGUACUUCUGUCGCACCAGCUCCUCAAGUUCCCACGUAGCCUCACGCUCAGACUGAUUUAGGGAUGGCAAUUUAAUCCGUGGAUUUGGAUAUCCGUCGGAUAUCCGACCCGACGGAUCAGGAUAUGGAUAUGUUUUUUGAUCCGCGGGUUAGACCCGUAUCCGAUCUGAGAUAAAGUGGACAUGGAUUUGGAUAUUAAAUCUCAUCCGCGGAUAAUCCGUUGGAUAUCCGAAAUUAACCAUUAGUCCAUUAUUGUCGGCCCACACAUGGACACCAAUGGAAAAAUCACCAACCCACCAUUGUCCAUUGAGCCCAGCCGCCAGGCGUCAGCCCACCAAAGCACCAUUCAGCGGUUCAGCCAAAUGCCAAACGCCCAAACUGGCAAAGGGCAAACCCUAAUCUCCAUCCCCUCAAUCCUCAAUCCCUCAGCUGGUCAAUUGGUGGCAAUAUGCAGGGAUCAAGUAUCCAACUUUGAGAAAAAUUGCUCGAGAUGUAAUGACAAUUCCUGUUACAACAGUGGUAUCUGAGUCCGUCUUUAGUACUAGGGGAGAGUAAUUAGCCCACAUCGUAGUAGACUUGCUCCAAAAACAGUAGCGGGGUUGAUGUGUAUGCAAGCUUGGGCCCGAGCUGACAUGUUAGGCAACCAAUCCUGUUUUAUAAAUGCACUAAUGACUUGUUUGGAGGAUGAAGACAUGUAUCAUUGACUAGAAAAAUUCAAACACAGCUACUAUAGCGUUAGCUCAAGUGCUCAACACUACACUCAGAUCGGAUCAGAAUCACAAGGCAAAAGGCUUAAGGUUAAAAGUAGACAUGUAUUUGUUGUCACGUAUUUGUUUUCAUGUUGAGACAUAUAGACAUGUAUUUUUGUCAUGUUGAGAAUGUUGCUUGUUGAAGGACAUGUAUAUUUGUUUAAAUUUUUAUUAAAUUUUAAGUUAUGUAUGAUGUUGAAUUGGGAAGAAGUUUGAUUAUUUAUGUUAUUCAAUUGCUGAAAAUGGUUCUUUGUCAUAUCCGAUGGAUAUCCAAUGGAUAUCCGAAACCCGAUGGGCAUGGAUAUGGAUAUGAAUUUCUACCCGCGGAUAUAGUCGCGGGCGGAUAUUAUCUAUGACCGUGGAUAUGACUGCGGGCGGAUAUUUCCAAUAUCCGAUCUGAAUCCAAUCCGUUGCCAUCCCUAGACUGAUUAGUCCAUAAGACCUUGACAUACUUAAUUGAUCUCUUCCUCAACACACGCUCCGAGAAUUCCAAUAUACGCACCGGACGACACUCCAGAGUCAGAUCCUGCUGCACCGCAAUUGGUUCCAUCUCAAUCUGAUGGUCCGGAUCCCGCAAGAACUUCCUCAACAUAGAGACAUGAAAAACCGGGUGUACCCCUGUCAUGGAAUCUGUAACACCCCACUGGUCACACACAAUGGAUAAUACCACAAACCCCACCCACCAAACUUACUCAACACAAGAGAAGUAAUAAAGAAAGAAUAUAUAGCAAAAUCCGGCAGCACCUCCUUUGAAAACUAGCAUAACAAGGAGGGGAAUCAUGAAGCUCAUACAAGAUAUAAAGACAUAUAAUUCACAUAGUAGAAACUGAAAUGCAAUAGUGGCAAAACUUAAUUAUGACCCAACUGAAGCAAAACAAAUGGGAUAAGAAACUCAGCCCACCCCAAAAUAAACGCUCAACCAAGAACAAAGCAAUUCACUAGACUUGUCCAACUCUGAUUAACAACAUUAUUAAAUGCUGGUUCCUUUAUUAAAGGUGUAGUGGCCGUGCUGCUACAUACCUCUAUUCCCAAAGCAGAAAUUAGGUGCCUGCAUCAAACAAUGCAAGAUGUGAGAUAACACAUCUCAGCAAGUAAACAUAACAACAACAAAUAGGAUAUUGUAAAUCAACUGUGCUUACACAACCACGUGUUCAGGACUUCUUUCUUUUCUUUUGAACAGUAAAUUGCAGCAAGUAAACAAGUAACUAAAAGCUCAACGCCAAGUAGAAUCACCAUGCACAAGUCCAAAUUAUCCACAUCCACAUAAUAGAUUCAACACCUCUCCCAUGAAUGCACAUGGCUACAAAUGCAAUAAUGACUUCUGCCUCCAUAUCUCUAAGGAUAUGAAGCUGCACCAUACCCCUUCUCGGGCAACAUAUGAUGCUCAAUGUACCGGUACGGUCGGACCAUAAGAUCGCGACGAAACUUCAAUGCAAUGGAUGAUGAGUGCAUUAUGCAUGACAACCUCAUGAGUUCUUCCCAAAUAAAAAUGUGCUAGGCAUUUACUUCCACCCAUUCCACAUAAUAACCACUUGAGUAACAUAAUCAAACAUCAAACUCAACAUAUGAAAUUCAUGAAACAUGAACAUUUUCAAAUGAUGGUACUCAAAAGAAACUAUGAAUUUGAACAUAAUAGCACAACAUAAACAAGUAUAAGACUCCUCAUCUGACAGACGGAAUAACCAUCACAGUUUUACUUGCCUUCACCGGAAGUUUGGGCAAAUCCCUAAGAACGAUCUGGGAGUCCACCACCUGUUUUUGACACCCAACUUAGUGCACCAAAUUCACAUAAAAAACUCAAAACAACGUCGCACCUACGCGCAAUCUCCAACCCCGCCGCGGGUAACAAUUCUCCUCACACCAACCAAACUGCAGCGGCGCUGAUUAACAAUUCCAUAACUUUAAAAUUAAGACAGCAGUGGUGUCAAACAAAAACUCCAGAGGCAACUACAUAAAAUUCCCCACAAGUUUUGUAUACAACUUAUGAUUAAAUUCUAACAUCUAAUUACCCCUAAACGGUCCACAAAAUAAACCCUGCAAUCUGUUUUUUUCUGUUUUGGGCAGCGACAUACUCGGAUUCAAACAGCGAUAACUUUUAAAAUAUAAUUCCGAAUCAAGCGCAUAAGUACUUGUUGGAAAGAUAAGAAAGAGCCCUUCAUGAUUCUUAUACUGAUUAACCCUAAUUACUCCCGAAAAAUCCCCAGAAACUGCUAAUACUGCUGCUGUUCAUCCCCUGAAAAUCUGUUUUUUGGACAGCCACAUACCCGGAUUCAAACGGUGAUAACUUUCAAUUUAUAACUCCAAAUUGAGCGCAUAAAUACUCGUUGGAAAGGUAAGACAAAGUUCUACAUGAUCCCCAAACUGAUUUCCCUUAAUUUCUCACGAAAAAAACACAGAACUGCUAGAACUACUGAUGUUCAUCCACCACCUAAAAUUCUGGACAGCCCCCUCUACCCAAUCGCAAACGCAACCUCUAAUCAAUUAAAUUGCAGCACAAAUGAACAAGGGAUGAACACAAAAAUCACCUUGGAUUCUCCCCCUUUCCUUCCUCCCUUCUUCCCUCCACCAAAACGAUUGAAGACUCGCACCACGCGACGAUGAUCCGAGCGGCAAGGAUUGGCACCUUGGGAGGAGGGGAUUGAGGGGGGGCUAGGGUUUGGUGGCUGCAACAAUGGAGAGAGGAGGAGAUGGGCAGGGGGCGGCCAAGGGGAAAGAAGUGGGGGGGCGGCUGC